AAAUUGAAGAGUUUGAUCAUGGCUCAGAUUGAACGCUGGCGGCAGGCCUAACACAUGCAAGUCGAGCGGAAACGACAACAUUGAAUCUUCGGAGGAUUUGUUGGGCGUCGAGCGGCGGACGGGUGAGUAAUGCCUAGGAAAUUGCCUUGAUGUGGGGGAUAACCAUUGGAAACGAUGGCUAAUACCGCAUAAUGCCUACGGGCCAAAGAGGGGGAUCUUCGGACCUCUCGCGUCAAGAUAUGCCUAGGUGGGAUUAGCUAGUUGGUGAGGUAAUGGCUCACCAAGGCGACGAUCCCUAGCUG
rnacentral:rRNA from 1 species